rnacentral:rRNA from 1 species
AACGAACGCUGGCGGCAGGCUUAACACAUGCAAGUCGAGCGCGUAGCAAUACGAGCGGCAGCCGGGUGAGUAACGCGUGGGAAUCUACCGUACCCUAUGGAAUAGCUCCGGGAAACUGGAAGUAAUACCAUAUACGUCCGAAAGGGGGAAGAUGGAUCGGGGUAUGAUGAGCCCGCGUUGGAUUAGCUAGUUGGUGGGGUAAAGGCCUACCAAGGCGACGAUCCAUAGCUGGUCUGAGAGGAUGAUCAGCCACAUUGGGGCUGAGACGCGGCCCAAACUCCUACGGGAGGCAGCAGUGGGGAAUACUGGACAAUGGGCGCAAGCCUGAACCAGCCAGGCCGCGUGAGUGAUGAAGGUCUUAGGAUUGUAAAGCUCUUUCACCGAUGAAGAUAAUGACGGUAGUCGGAGAAGAAGCCCCGGCAAACUUCGUGCCAGCAGCCGCGGUAAAAC